GAUGAACGCUGGCGGCGUGCCUAAUACAUACAAGUCGAGCGAACAGAUGAGAAGCUUGCUUCUCUGAUGUUAGCGGCGGACGGGUGAGUAACACGUGGGUAACCUACCUAUAAGACUGGGAUAACUCCGGGAAACCGGGGCUAAUACCGGAUAAUAUUUUGAACCGCAUGGUUCAAUAGUGAAAGACGGUUUCGGCUGUCACUUAUAGAUGGACCCGCGCCGUAUUAGCUAGUUGGUAAGGUAACGGCUUACCAAGGCGACGAUACGUAGCCGACCUGAGAGGGUGAUCGGCCACACUGGAACUGAGACACGGUCCAGACUCCUACGGGAGGCAGCAGCAGGGAAUCUUCCGCAAUGGGCGAAAGCCUGACGGAGCAACGCCGCGUGAGUGAUGAAGGUCUUCGGAUCGUAAAACUCUGUUGUUAGGGAAGAACAAAUUUGUUAGUAACUGAACAAGUCUUGACGGUACCUAACCAGAAAGCCACGGCUAACUACGUGCCAGCAGCCGCGGUAA
rnacentral:rRNA from 1 species